AAACUUGCCUCAAGAUGAGAUCUCACUGGGAACUUGAUUCCCCUGAAGGGCCGUCGAAGACUACGACGUUGAUAGGCUGGGUGUGUAAGCGUUGUGAGGCGUUGAGCUAACCAGUACUAAUUGCCCGUGAGGCUUGACCAUAUAACACCCAAACCCUGAAGGGCCGUCGAAGACUACGACGUUGAUAGGCUGGGUGUGUAAGCGUUGUGAGGCGUUGAGCUAACCAGUACUAAUUGCCCGUGAGGCUUGACCAUAUAACACCCAAACA
rnacentral:rRNA from 1 species